ACUGAAUCACAAUAACUAGAGUUUAAACUAGAUUUAAUGAGAGUUUUGAUGUAACCGACCCCCCUCCAUAUUUGGUAAUGACCUGCAGCGCCUGUAUGAGCCCGCCAACAACAGCUCAAAAGUGAUGUGAAGCAGUAAGGAAGGAGCUGCUACAGCAAGUGAAAAUCUCGUCAGAUGUGCAGCUGCAUUUACCAUCAGUGUCCGGGAAAGAUGUCACCUAUCCCAGAGGGGUGUCAACAGUAUUGUCUCUGGAGUCCAGCAGUAUCAAACUGCUCUUCUCAGUACCAUGAAGGACACCAUGAAGUCGCUCUUUCAAAGACAUUCAGACAAUAUGGAGCAGCUACAAGAGGCAGUAUUGGCAGAACUGGAAAAUUUUCAAGAUCCUUUCUCCAUGAUGGCUUCCACAUACAUUCAGGACAGCACAAUCCAGAGGCUUUUUAACCCAGUCAUACCAGAGGAGGUAGUUAUGUCUCAAAAGGUUUGCAGAGUUAACAAAGGACAGUCAAGAGUAAUUGCCAUCAAAAACA